UACGGAAGGUGCGAGCGUUAAUCGGAAUUACUGGGCGUAAAGCGCACGUAGGUGGUUUUAUAAGUCGGAUGUGAAAGCCCCGGGCUUAACCUGGGAAUUGCAUCCGAGACUGUCUGACUUGAGUAUGCUAGAGGGAAGUGGAAUUCCAGGUGUAGCGGUGAAAUGCGUAGAUAUCUGGAGGAACACCAAUGGCGAAGGCAACGUCCUGGGGCAAUACUGACACUGAUGUGCGAAAGCGUGGGGAGCAAACAGG
rnacentral:rRNA from 1 species